UUGAACGCUGGCGGUAUGCUUAACACAUGCAAGUCGAACGGGGGUAGCAAUACCCUAGUGGCGCACGGGUGCGUAACGCGUGGGAAUCUGCCCUUUGGUUCGGAAUAACAGUUAGAAAUGACUGCUAAUACCGGAUGAUGACUUCGGUCCAAAGAUUUAUCGCCAAGGGAUGAGCCCGCGUAGGAUUAGGUAGUUGGUGGGGUAAAGGCCUACCAAGCCGACGAUCCUUAGCUGGUCUGAGAGGAUGAUCAGCCACACUGGGACUGAGACACGGCCCAGACUCCUACGGGAGGCAGCAGUGGGGAAUAUUGGACAAUGGGCGAAAGCCUGAUCCAGCAAUGCCGCGUGAGUGAUGAAGGCCUUAGGGUCGUAAAGCUCUUUUACCAGGGAUGAUAAUGACAGUACCUGGAGAAUAAGCUCCGGCUAACUCCGU
rnacentral:rRNA from 1 species